CCUACGGGUGGCAGCAGUGGGGGAUAUUGCACAAUGGGGGAAACCCUGAUGCAGCGACGCCGCGUGGGCGAAGAAGUAUUUCGGUAUGUAAAGCCCUAUCAGCAGGGAAGAAGAAAUGACGGUACCUGAGUAAGAAGCACCGGAGAAAUACGUGCCAGCAGCCGGGGAAAUACGAGGGGUGCAAGCGUUAUCCGGAUUUACUGGGUGUAAAGGGAGAGCAGGCGGACAGGCAAGCCUGAUGUGAAAGCCCGAGGCCAAACCGGGGGACUGCAUUGAGAACUACCGGGCUGGAGUGCCGGAGAGGUAGGCGGAAUUCCUAGUGUAGCGGUGAAAUGCGUAGAUAUUAGGAGGAACACCAGUGGCGAAGGCGGCCUACUGGACGGUGACUGACGCUGAGGCUCGAAAGCGUGGGGAGCAAACAGGAUUAGAUACCCCUGUAGUC
rnacentral:rRNA from 1 species